rnacentral:lncRNA from 10 species
CAGCUAUUCUUUCUUAAAGCUAAAUAAACUUGGUGUUGGUUGAAGCCUACUGUGCCUUGUUAGUUUGAAUGACAAUGUAAAUCUAAGACCUCUGCUUCUGGGUGAGCAGAGUGGGUGCUGCAACUGCUAACCAUCUGAGACUAUGCGAAGGGAAACAGGAGAAAGAAAUUUACUUGUCUUGUAUAAUAAAGCAGAGGCUUAGGAUGUGAUGCAAUUGUACAAUGGAAGAAAUAGGAAGGAUGGUGAAUUGUGGGGCUGAAAAUUGGAGGAUGGCAGAAAUCUCUGUAAGGAAAAGUAGACCCUUGAGCCCUACUAGAUCCCACACAGACAGGCAACUUCCUCUUCUUUUCUGUCCUCACUGUCAUCCAAUCUCUGACCAGAAUUCUAUCUUCUGAGGAAAUCAAAGCAGUAAGGACUCCAACUGAGAAAAAUAAGAGAUCAUGGAAGUCAAAGGUGAGACAGAUGCUGAAAAUAAGUGAAUUAAGUGAAAAUCUGCUUACAUAAUGAUAAAAUUCGCAAUCUCCCAUUUCUACUUGUUCUUCGAACACAUGCAGCUAGAUACAAUUUUCUUCUGCCUGCUCCAUAGUAAGACAGAAAAUUAGUAUGUUAUCCCACGUAAAUCUGGUUGCAGAGAAAAUGCAUGAAAUCCUCAAAUUUGAGGACCCACAAAUAAACUUUACUUGCUGCAAGAUUAUCUUCCAACAAUGCCUAAUAAUUGACAAUUUCUGCUCAUGCACACAGAUAAGGCUUCUGAUCUGUUGUGUAGUGGGUACUUCAUUCUUGAACAUGAAUGGACCACAUUCCCCAGAUAUUUGAUGAAAUAUUUGAUAAAAAAGAGAAAUCAAAAAACAAGUGGGUAAAGGAUAGUUAAGAAAACAGUGAUAAUUUAUGGAGUAGAAUAUUUUUCUAACAAUCACCUACAAUUAAUAUUAAAACGAGAAGAUAUAUCUAUGGAACAAGGACAAGAUGAUACAAAACAACAAUGAAGGAACAAAAAUAACUUUGAAACUAAAAAAGGACAGCAGAAAAAUAAACUGAGGAAUGAAACAAAGAUUCUUAAUUCUACUAGAAUUGUAUCUGCAUGUUAGAUGGACAAAAGGUAAAUAGUGUGUGAUAGAAAAGACAAGUUUAAAACAUCAGAAAGAUGAAAAAAAAAAACCUCCUCUGCACUCUUGCUCAAAAAGCUAUUAUAGGGUGUGUUUCAUCAAAAUGUAAAAGUAAACCAAUAUAGAGAAAGAAACUCUUAAAAAUAGGUUUUGGCCUGGAGCGUUGGCCCACGCCUGUAAUCCCAGCACUUUGGGAGGCCGAGGUGGGUGGAUCACGAGGUCAGGAGUUCAAGACCAGCCUGGCCAAGAUGGUGAAACCCUGUGUCUACUAAAAAUACAAACAAAUUAGCCAGGCGUGGUGGUGGGUGCCUGUAAUCCCAGCUACUGGGGAGGCUGAGGCAGAGAAUUACUUGAACCUGGGAGGCGGAAGUUGCACUGAGCCGAGAUCACACCAUGGCACUCCAGGCUGGGCAACAGGGUGAGAGUCCGUCUCAAAAAAAAAAGGAGAUUUAGCACAGGAAAACAUGAAGGAGCAGUCCUAGAUCAACCUUUUUGCAGUAGGCCAAGAGAACAACUAUUUCAAAUGGGAGAAAAACAGCUCUGGGAAAAAUUUCAUGAAAAAGAUAAUGGGGUGGGGAGGGGAGGGGCAGAUAAAAAGAACUGAUAGAUUAUUUGCUCCAUCUGACCACAGGGACUAUGGUAUUGAAAGUUGUUUAACACCUCUAAGUAUAAGUUUGGAUAGUCAGUCAGUAUCAGAUAUUAAAAAAAAAAAGCACAACUAAGCAAAUGAAAAAAGAAUGCCACCAUUAUCAAUUCCAGGGGAAAAAAAGGUUUAUGAAAUGGAAGGCUAAUCAUAAAUAUGCCACCUUUCUCAGUAGUGGAUAAAUUUACAGUUGUAGCCCUAUAAACAUUGAAUAUUGAUUUAAUCAAAACACCUAUAAUAGGAUGAGCGAGAGAGCAAGAAGAAGUAUAAGGGAGUUAAAACAUAUCGUAACAUGCCGUGCAAUAGAUCACAUCUAAAAUUGAUGUAUCAGGAAAUCAUAGUGGGUUGGAUCAUCUGUUGUCAACUUGGCAGGCAUCGAACCCACCUCCUUUAAGGUCUUCUCUAGAAAGUAGAAGCUGGGAACUAUGUUUUCCACAUUCGCCUUCUUCUUAGGGUUCCAAUGAAUGUUACUUGUCUGAGAUUUGAAAGGUCAAGCAGAAGGACAGACCUUUAUCAGGUGGCAAUUGAGAACAAAUGCUUGACAGCUGUGAGAGUUCAGAAAGCCUCCAGGUGAGCUUUUGGAGUCAUGAUCAUUGGUGCUGAUAACUGAGGUACUUGGAUAGCAACCAUCCAUAGAGUCUUGAGAUUUACAGUAGCUUUGUCUGAGGACAUAUGACCCACUUUACAUAUUUAAGCUAAAAUCCUCUUUGGUUGUUUUCCACAUUUUUUUUCCUCCUCAGUCUUUCCAAUAGUCAAGUAAGCCUUCAAUUUCUUGUAUCAAAACCAUUAAAAGAUACAGGCUGGCUUCUGUUUUCUGAAGUAAAUUUGGACUGAAAUAAAUACUACAAAAUUUGUAUUUGAAAUAUGGAAAUCAAGAUGAGAAGAAACUGCUAAAAAGUUUAAAUCUUAGUGCUAGAGACUGAAUUUUUUAAUUUUUGCAGGUACAUAGUAAGUGUAUAUAUUUAUGGGUUACAUGAGAUAUUUUGAUAUAAGCAUGCAAUGUGUAACAAUACUAGGGUAAGUGGGGUAUUUAUUUCCCUGACGUUCACAUGUUGAAACCUAAUUCUCAAUGUGACAGUAUUUAGAGGUGAGGCCUUUGGGAGGUGAUUAGGUCACGAGAGUAGAGCCCCCAUGAAUGAAAUAAGUGUCCUUAUGGAUAUCCCAGAAAUCUUCCUUGAACCUUUUCCUCAUGUGCGGAUAAACAGAGAAAAAGACCGUCUAUGAACCAGGAAGAGAGCCCUCCCCAGGAACCAAAUCAGUCCUCACCUUGCUCUUGGACUUUCCAGACUCCAGGACUGUGAGUAGUAAAUUUCUGUCAUUUCUAGGUAGCCCAGUUUAUGGUAUUUUGUUACAGCAGCCUGAAUGGACUAAGACACUUGGGAAAUGGAAAGAGGGAGUAAGAUAGAUUUUUAAUAUCCAUACUUAUUAUUAUUAUCUUGAACACACACACAUGAGGUUUCUAACACAGAGAAAAUUAUUAUUUACUCAUAGCAAACAAACCUGUGGUUUCCUGAUGCCUCAACUUUUUAACCCUGGGGUAAAGCAAUGAGAUUCAGAUGUUAUCCUAUACAUACUAAUUUGUAUUGUAGGAGAGUAAUUCAGAAAAAAAUAAUUGAGGUAUUUUGCUCAUUGGGAAGCAUGUUUUUACUCUGACCUUUUGGAAUGUAUAUAAAUCUCUCUAAGGGAAAGAUAACAUUAUUGUGUUCAGCUUUUGAACUUAGGGACAUCUUUGAAGUCCCAUGUCUCAGUAACCUGUUCCCUCCCCCAGUUCCUCAAAUAUAUUUUUCUAGAAUUCUUUAUUUAAAUCGUACAUAAUUUAUCUUUCCAAACUGGCUCAUGUCCCGACUUUCUGUAAAAUUUACUCAGAAAUCUUUACGUAUCAAAGCUGAGUUUAUUAAGCUUACUAUAGAAAUGGAAAACUCCACAUUCACCAUCUCUUAGUAUCAAAAGGCGGGAAAAAGAUAAUUUAUAGAUUUUGUCCCCUGGACUCAAAUAGAUUAAUGUGUAUAUUUCAAGGCAAGAAAAAUGACUGGGAGUUAAUGUCAGAGUUUGUAACAUAUUUGUUGAAGAUUAGUAGACACAGCAAGACCAGGCUCUCAAAAUCAACCUCAAUGAGUUGGCUAUCUUCCUGAUGAGUGAGCACUUUGUCCAGGUGAGCAGGUUAUUGUGUGUGUUGGGGGGGUGUCUUUGUCGUGAGUCUAGAGUUGACAAAUUUUACACCUUUCUUAACUUUUAUUUUUUUCUACUUGCUCACUGCAUGACUUGAAAUAGUUUACAGGUCACUGCAUGAUAUGAUUUGGAUCUGUGUCCCUACCCACGUCUCAUGCUGAAAUGCAAUCCCCAGUGCUGGACGUGGGGCUGGGUAAGAGGUGAUUGGAUCAUAGGUGCAGUUUCUAAUGAAUGGCUUAGCACCAUCCUCCUUGGUAUUGUCUUGAUGAUACUUGAGUGAAUUUUUGUGAGAUCUGGUUGUUUAAGUGUGCGCCACCUCCCCCUUCUCUGUUCCUCCUGCUCCAGUCAUGUAAGAUGAGCCUGCUUCCCCUUCGUCUUCCACCAUGAUUGUAAAUUUCCUGAGGCCUCCCUAGAAGCUCAGCAGAUGGCCGACAUCAUGCUUCCUUUAAGCCUGCAAAACUAUCUUCUGAGGAGAUGACAAGGGACAGGAGAUCAAGUUCAAUGACAUGGCCAAUGACUCAGCCAAUCAUGACUACAUGACUGACUACAUGGUGAAACCCCAAUGAAAACUCUCACCAUCUAGCUUGGAGAGCUUCUGUGGUUGUCAAUGCUCUGUGUAUCAUCACAUUUCAAUGUGCCAUGAGGGUGACACUUUCUGAUUUCACAAGGAGAAGACAACUGGAAGCUUAGGGUCUGAGACUCUGCCAGACUUAGCACCAUGUGUUUUUUCUCUGGCUGGUUUUGAUUUUGUAUCGUCUCUGCUAUAAUGAAGCUGUAAUCAUAAAUGUAGCACUUUCCUGAGUUCUGUGAGUCAUUCAAGUGAAUUCUCAAACCUGAAAGGAACCCUCAAGUGUGUAGCCAGUUGGUUAGAAGUGAGGAUGUCCCUGAGAUCCUUGAGCAUGCAGCUGGUGUCUGAAGUAAGGUGGUCUCAUGGAGGACCUGUAAAAUUUGGACUAACUCUAGAUAGUUAGUGUUAAAAGUCAUUGCACUGCUGGUUUCCCUUGCUGCUAAAUACUGAGCAAUUCUCUGUAAUGAUCUCAGCCCUUUUUGGACCUGCCAUCAUUUGUAGAAUGCCUGUGGCCCCUAUCCAGAGUAUUCAAGUAAUUCUGAGUGUCCUGAAAACCACAGGGAGCCUGGACCACUGCCUGAGGCUCAUAUGGCCAUCUGCCGUAGCUUCUGGCAUACAAUUAUUUUGUCUUAGUGAAAGUAGCUGUAAGCACUACAGGCUAGUAACACCUGAAUUUCCAGAGUGGAUUUUGUGAUGUGCCACACAGACUCCUUUUUAGGACUGAAAUAUGUAGGCUCUCAGCUUUUCAGAAUGUCACUGGCUUACUGCCCUCAGAUGACAGUCUUUUCUGGAAAAUGCCCCAUGUUGGAGACAGCUGCUUUACCCAAGUGACAACCUACAUUCAAUUAUGAUAGAUGCAGGAAUAUAAAAUCCCAGUUCUCUCAUUACAAUGCAGGCAAUGCUGAAGGCCCGUCACAGCUUCAGAGCUCCUUGUAGGUUUGGCCUUUGUUUGGACUGCAUCACUGUUUAGCUUCUCCUUCUGUCCAAUCCUGCCUCAUUUCAUUACUUUUUUAAGUUUUCAAGGACUUCUGUGGUAGAAUUCUUGUGUAGUAAUCUUUUCAAAUUUUGCUUCCCAGGGAACCCAGUCUGCAAUAGUUGGCACCGACUGGUCAGAGAAAGAAGAGAUAGAAUUCAGAAGCUUAAUUACCUGCUAGCUCACAUUUAGGCCUCCAUAACUUUUGUCAGAUGAACAAAAAUGAACCUUGUACAAGAUAGCAAUGUUGUUAAGUGCUUCAGUAUAUUAUUGAAAGGAAUGCAAUAGUAAGUACAGAUUAUCAUGAUGAUGAGUAAUCUGAGGUAACAACUGACAUAAAGUAUAGAGAAAGCAAGUGGUUGUUGUUAAGUGCAAUCGAUGCUUUGAAGAAAGAUAACCAAAGUGAUUAGGCAGUAAUUUGAAAUUAAGUUUAAAAGCCAGAGGGCUUCCUUGAUAGCAUAGCAAGGCCUAACUACAGCCAGAGAGCAAGUAAAGCUGAGGACCAAGCCAAGAACUUAAUGAUUAAAGCACCAGAGCUUCAAAGAAGGCUAAAUGAUGGACCAAGGCAGUUAUCCUAUGUGAUGUCAAGGCGUUGAUUAAGAAAUGCAAACUUAGUCAUGUGAUGAAGACAUCUGGGUUGAUACGCUAGAACAACCUUGAUUCACAGACUCCCCUAGACCAUCUGUUCAUGCAGAGGAAGCCCACUCCUCCCUGGUAAAAGCUGACAUACUUCCUUCCUUAAAGACAGUGUAGAGGUCUCCCCCUGUAGGAACACAUGUCUUAUCCUGCACUCAUCUCCUUUCCUGGAUAUUAGACCAAUUAUUUGGACGUCACAGCUUAGCUGGAGAAAGCAUUUGGUCAGAUAAGGGAUUAAAGGGACUAUUAUACAAAGAGCUGCAGGAAAUAGUCUUACUUCCCUUGGGGAGAGAAGUGAACCUCAUCCUUCAAGGAAGGACAUGAGAGAAAAUAGAAAUGCAUGGUACAAAAAUGUCGUUUAUAAUACAUAAAUUGAAAUGAAUGAAUGAAUGACUCAGCUCAUAUCAUCCCCCCAAGAAUAUUCUAUGUCCUGUCAAGGCAGAAAUACUCCUUGUUGUGCAUGCUAAUGGCCUUUUUUCAUAUUUCUAUUAUAGAAAUUAUUACAUUGCUGUUAUUUUUCACAGUCAUGUCUCCUCUGCUGCUGGAGGAAAUUCUGAAGAAGAGUGAGUGCAUUUGAUUUCUCUUUAAACACAUAUGAGAUAACUAGCACGGUGUCUGGCUUUGAAAUGAAACACUGAAACCUCCAUAGUUGCUUGUAAUUUUAAGGCCAUUCUGACCGAAGACAGACAAAAAGUGAGUCAAUCAUGAGCCCUCAACUUUUAGGGCUCAUGAUUGACUCACUGUCUAUCCACAUGCUUCAUAUGUUUUUGUAUUAAUGAGUAAGUAGGUGGAUAAGGAUAAUGCAUAUUUACUUAAUCUUUUAAUUAAAUUCAACUGAAUGAUGGGAAGCCUCUCUCUCAAAGAUAUCCAUCCAGUUAGAUGGCCUUGUACAGCAAACAUCGGGCUAAGUUUGAAUUUGAGUUCACAUUAUCAUAUUAAAAUGAUAAUACUAGGUGAAAUUUUCUUGACUUCAGUCAGAUAAUCUUUGAGAGGCAACUCUUCCUUGGAUCACCAAAAAUACUUUAAAUUUGAGAAAUGGGUAAUCCUAACCCAUUCAAUUUUGUUUACACCCAGCUAUAAUGGUGGAAAGCUGUCAAAAUCCAACCCCAGAGAACAAAGUCAUUACCUCCAACAAACUCAUGUGUUCAAGCUGCCAAUUUAAGGCUCAGAGUAAGCUCUCAAAAAGAGAGCUGAUAGCAGUGCCUCUAAGUAAGUUGCAGCCAACUAGCUUAAAGGGACUUAAAGAUAUUUUAUCGGCAUCUAAGUCAGGAAAUGCAACAAUACAACUAAAUUCCAGUGGUCCAAGAUAGUGGUGAACCUUCAUGAUGCUCUGCUGCAAGUGACAGAUGCAAGUCUUUGGAAGCUGUGCCAAAAGGGAGUUAUAAUAAAACUGGCUGCAUGAUGAGAAAAAAACACAGCCGUGUGGCAGGACAUUCAUGAGAAAUAUGGAUUCAGCUGGUGUUGUUUACACAUCAGAAAAAAUGUAUUUUUGUGCUAAAUCCAAUCUGUGAUGUUCCAAUGAGAACAUGUGGCCUCCAGUAAUCCACUAUCAAAGCUGAUCUUCUUACUUGCAUAAAGAGUGAUACAAAAGAAAGAGGGAUUAGAGACUCUGUUUUUAUUUCAUUCCUCUGAAUGUUAUCUUUGGAGGAUUAAGAAUGACUGAUACUGAUACACUGAG